AUGAAAUGGACAUUGGGAAACCUGAAGACUGCAGGGUUCCCGACCUUGAGUGUUUACGGUGGUAAUACUGUCUACCUCGUGUCUAAGGUGGAGUCUCAGGAUGAAGACACAUUGCUUGUUGGUGUUGAUAUUGGAAAGAGGAAGCUGGAAGUCAUCGAACAAUAUUGUUGCGGCAGAUCCAUUUCUUUCGAUCCCUAUCCGCUUGGCGUUGUUCAAAUUGUAGGGGGGCGGGAAGUCAUUGAACCAUAUUGUGGUGGGAGAUCCACUGCUUUCAAUCCUAUUUCCUGCGCAUUCUCCGAAUAUCUGAAUGCCACUCCAAGUCCAAGGCCACGUGAUGAUGAAGUUGCAGCAGUAUCUGCUCACAGCGGUGCGCUGGGCAAUACUGUUCCAAAAUAUAUGCAAACCCAGCAAAACACGUCGAAUGGGGAUGACUCUAGCAAGUAUCAACCGCCAACCACACUCCAGCCAUCCAGUUUGACACAAACUGGGCAGCCCUUGUCAUCUUCAACUUCAACUCAAUUAGACGACUUCCGAAGGAUGCCCUCUCAAUGUCUCGCGUGCCAUUGCAACCUCCCUCCUGACCAGUACCCAAGGAGGAGGCGUUUGCACCGUGAAUGA
rnacentral:rRNA from 1 species